rnacentral:miRNA from 16 species
GGAAUUCCGCUAGUUCUGAACU